GGCUGAGAGUUAGCUCAGUUGGUUACAGCGUGCUGCUGACAACGCCAAUGUCAUGGGUUCAAUCCCCAUAUGGGCCA